rnacentral:rRNA from 1 species
UACAGAGGGGGCAAGCGUUGUCCGGAAUUACUGGGCGUACAGCGCACGCAGGUGGUCGUUCAAGUGUGGUGUGAAAGCCCCGCGCUCAACGCGGGGAGGCCAGCACAGACUGGGCGACUGGAGGGGUGCAGAGGGUUGGGGAAUUGCCGGUGUAGUGGUGAAAUGCGUAGAGAUCGGCAGGAACACCAAGGACGAAGGUACCAACCUGGGCACCACCUGACACUCAGGUGCGAGAGCGUGGGGAGCGAACCGG